rnacentral:rRNA from 1 species
AGAGUUUGAUCCUGGCUCAGGAUGAACGCUGGCGGCGUGCUUAACACAUGCAAGUCGAACGAAGCACUUACGACAGAAGCUUUCGGGUGGAAGAUGUAAGUGACUGAGUGGCGGACGGGUGAGUAACGCGUGGGUAACCUGCCUCACACAGGGGGAUAACAGUUAGAAAUGACUGCUAAUACCGCAUAAGCGCACAGUGCUGCAUGGCACAGUGUGAAAAACUCCGGUGGUGUGAGAUGGACCCGCGUCUGAUUAGCUGGUUGGUGAGGUAACGGCCCACCAAGGCGACGAUCAGUAGCCGGCCUGAGAGGGUGAACGGCCACAUUGGAACUGAGACACGGUCCAAACUCCUACGGGAGGCAGCAGUGGGGAAUAUUGCACAAUGGGGGAAACCCUGAUGCAGCGACGCCGCGUGAGUGAAGAAGUUAUUCGUAAUGUAAAGCUCUAUCAGCAGGGAAGAUAAUGACGGUACCUGACUAAGAAGCCCCGGCUAACUACGUGCCAGCAGCCGCGGUAAUACGUAGGUGGCGAGCGUUGUCCGGAAUUACUGGGUGUAAAGGGAGCGUAGGCGGGUACGCAAGUUGAAUGUGAAAACUAACGGCUCAACCGAUAGUUGCGUUCAAAACUGCGGAUCUUGAGUGAAGUAGAGGCAGGCGGAAUUCCUAGUGUAGCGGUAAAAUGCGUAGAUAUUAGGAGGAACACCAGUGGCGAAGGCGGCCUGCUGGGCUUUAACUGACGCUGAGGCUCGAAAGUGUGGGGAGCAAACAGGAUUAGAUACCCUGGUAGUCCACGCAGUAAACGAUGAAGACUAACUGCCGGGGAAUACAGUGUCGGUGGCCAAGCGAAAGCGAUAAGUCAUCCACCUGGGGAGUACGACCGCAAGGUUGAAACUCAAAGGAACUGACGGGGGCCCGCACAAGCGGAGGAACAUGUGGUUUAAUUCGAUGAUACGCGAGGAACCUUACCCGGGCUCGAACGGCAGGUGAACGACACAGAGAUGUGAAGGCCCUACGGGACGCCUGUCGAGGUGCUGCAUGGUUGUCGUCAGCUCGUGCCGUGAGGUGUCGGCUUAAGUGCCAUAACGAGCGCAACCCUUGCCGUCAGUUACCAUCAGGUAAAGCUGGGGACUCUGGCGGGACUGCCACCGCAAGGUGUGAGGAAGGGGGGGAUGACGUCAAAUCAGCACGGCCCUUACGUCCGGGGCGACACACGUGUUACAAUGGUGGGUACAGAGGGGUGCUACCUGGUGACAGGAUGCUGAACUCGAAAGCCCAUCUCAGUUAGGAUCGGAGUCCGCAACCCGACUCCGUGAAGCUGGAUUCGCUAGUAAUCGCGCAUCAGCCAUGGCGCGGUGAAAACGUUCCCGGGCCUUGCACUCACCGCCCGUCA